GACGAACGCUGGCGGCGUGCUUAACACAUGCAAGUCGAACGGAAAGGCCCUGCUUUUGUGGGGUGCUCGAGUGGCGAGCGGGUGAGUAACAUGUGAGUAACCUGCCCUUGACUUUGGGACAACUUCAGGAAACUGGGGCUAAUACCGGAUAGGAGCUCCUGCUGCAGGGGGGGGGUUGGAAAGUUUCGGCGGUUGUGGAUGGACUCGCGGCUUACUAGCUUGUUGGUGGGGUAGUGGCUUACCAGGGCUUUGGCGGGUAGCCGGCCUGGGAGGGUGGCCGGCCACAUUGGGCCUGAGAUAGGGCCCAGAGUGCUACAGGAGGCAGCAGUGGGGAAUAUUGCACAGUGGGCGCGCGCCUGAUGAGGCGGCGCCCCGUGCGUGAUGACGGCCUUCGGGUUGUAAAGCGCUGUCGCCUGUGACGUAGCUUGAGUGACGGUAAUGGGUGAAGAAGCACCGGCUAACUACGUG
rnacentral:rRNA from 1 species